GGCUGUCCAAAGGGGGUGAGUUACCUCCAUUGACUGCUCAGUCAGUGCAACACUGAAUUACUUGCUAAAUAUCCCACCUCCUCCUCACUAUUGCACUUGUCUUAG
rnacentral:Y_RNA from 1 species